rnacentral:rRNA from 1 species
AGACGUCUACAUUAGAUACCCGGGUAGUCCCAGCCGUAAACUAUGCGCGUUAGGUGUAUCGGUGACCACGAGUCACCGAGGUGCCGAAGGGAAACCGUGAAACGUGCCGCCUGGGAAGUACGGUCGCAAGGCUGAAACUUAAGGAAUUGCGGGGAGCACCACAACAGGUGGAGCCUGCGGUUUAAUUGGACUCAACGCCGGGAAGCUCACCGGAUAGGACAGCAGAAUGAUUGCCGGGCUGAAGACCCUGCAUGACUAGCUG